rnacentral:rRNA from 1 species
CACCAGCGCCACAAGUGGCAACCGUAUAUUUGGCCUAAAGCGUCCGUAGCCUGUUUGGUAAAUCUUUUGUGAAAUCGUUAGGCUUAACCUAGCGGUAUGCAAGAGAGACUGCCAGACUUGGAACCGGGAGGAGUCAGAAGUAUUUUAGGGGGAGCGGUAAAAUGCUAUAAUCCCUAAAGGACUACCUGUGGCGAAGGCGUCUGACUAGAACGGCUUCAACGGUGAGGGACGAAAGCUAGGGGAGCGAUCCGGAUUAGAUACCCUCGUA